CCUACGGGAGGCAGCAGUGGGGAAUUUUGGACAAUGGGCGCAAGCCUGAUCCAGCAAUGCCGCGUGAGUGAAGAAGGCCUUCGGGUUGUAAAGCUCUUUUGUCAGGGAAGAAACGGCAGUUUCUAAUACAGAUUGCUAAUGACGGUACCUGAAGAAUAAGCACCGGCUAACUACGUGCCAGCAGCCGCGGUAAUACGUAGGGUGCAAGCGUUAAUCGGAAUUACUGGGCGUAAAGCGUGCGCAGGCGGUUUUGUAAGUUUGUCGUGAAAUCCCCGGGCUCAACCUGGGAAUGGCGAUGAAGACUGCAAGGCUAGAAUCUGGCAGAGGGGGGUAGAAUUCCACGUGUAGCAGUGAAAUGCGUAGAGAUGUGGAGGAACACCGAUGGCGAAGGCAGCCCCCUGGGUCAAGAUUGACGCUCAUGCACGAAAGCGUGGGGAGCAAACAGGAUUAGAUACCCUGGUAGUCCACGCCCUAAACGAUGUCUACUAGUUGUCGGGUUUUAAUUAACUUGGUAACGCAGCUAACGCGUGAAGUAGACCGCCUGGGGAUACGGUCGCAAGNUUAAAACUUAAGGAAUUGACGG
rnacentral:rRNA from 1 species